rnacentral:rRNA from 1 species
GACGAACGCUGGCGGCGUGCUUAACACAUGCAAGUCGAACGCUGAAGCACCAGCUUGCUGGUGUGGAUGAGUGGCGAACGGGUGAGUAAUACGUGAGUAACCUGCCCUUGACUCUGGGAUAAGCCCGGGAAACUGGGUCUAAUACUGGAUGCUACAUGUCACCGCAUGGUGGUGUGUGGAAAGGGUUUACUGGUCUUGGAUGGGCUCACGGCCUAUCAGCUUGUUGGUGAGGUAAUGGCUCACCAAGGCGACGACGGGUAGCCGGCCUGAGAGGGUGACCGGCCACACUGGGACUGAGACACGGCCCAGACUCCUACGGGAGGCAGCAGUGGGGAAUAUUGCACAAUGGGCGAAAGCCUGAUGCAGCGACGCCGCGUGAGGGAUGACGGCCUUCGGGUUGUAAACCUCUUUCAGCAGGGAAGAAGCCACAAGUGACGGUACCUGCAGAAGAAGCGCCGGCUAACUACGUGCCAGCAGCCGCCGUAA